rnacentral:misc_RNA from 1 species
GCAAACUUGGUCAUUUAGAGGAAGUAAAAGUCGUAACAAGGUUUCCGUAGGUGAACCUGCGGAAGGAUCAUUAACACGUAUCCACGUAUCAACCCCUCGUGCAAACCACAACGUCAAGGUUGGUCUAGUCUAUUUGCUCGCAUAGGUCCCAACGAUGGCGGCGGUCUGUGGCCUCACGGCCUAAGGAUAGCCGGGGAUCUGAGCGGUAGGCGUUCUGACGACUGGCCGGCAUUUUUCCUAUCGUUGAGAAUGCCUGUUAUUUUUAACCCCUUUGUACUUCUUUGUACUGAACUCUUCUUUCGACGCUCGAAAGGGCGACGAAGAACAUACGAAACAAAAGAACAACUCUUAGCAACGGAUAUCUUGGUUCCCGCAUCGAUGAAGAACGCAGC